rnacentral:rRNA from 1 species
UACGGAGGGUGCAAGCGUUGUUCGGAAUCACUGGGCGUAAAGCGCGUGUAGGCGGCUAUCUAGGUCUGAUGUGAAAGCCCUGGGCUCAACUCAGGAAGUGCAUUGGAUACUGGAUAGCUGGAGUACCGGAGAGGAGGGUGGAAUUCCCGGUGUAGCGGUGAAAUGCGUAGAUAUCAGGAGGAACACCGGUGGCGAAGGCGUCCCUCUGGCCGGAUACUGACGCUGAGGAGCGAAAGCGUGGGGAGCGAACAGG